ACCACAGGCUCAUAAAAUUUGCUUGUGCUAUUAAAGCUGUUUUGCACAAGUGUCCUAGGUUUCAUUUCAUUUCAGGAAAUGGAAUAUUGAUAUCUAAACCCAAAUAGAUGACUAAAUGUGUCCGGUAGCACAUAAUCAACAGUGGGAAGCUGAGGUUGCACGCCCACUUGAUUUUCCGUACUCACACAUUCCUUCCCUAUCAGCGUCUAUAGCAGACUAGGGCCUCAUUUCCAAAGGGUGUUGGCGGAGGUCACGGAGAGGGCAUGACCGCUGCUUGACCCCCGGAGCUAAACCCAGGCAGUCCGAGCCUCCCCACCACCACCUGUGCCUGUAAUGUACCUCUAACACGUGCUCCCACCACCGGAAGCUGUUUGCCGGGACGCAGGCUUUAGAGCACUGUGUUCCUGAGCCCACCUGCUCAGUAUACUAUGACUGAACCCAGUGAAGGCCUCGGUAAACUUUAAGAUUCUGGUGGUCAGGGUGCCGGCUGUCUCAGUCUGUAGAGCAUGCGAUUCUGCAUCACUCGGAGUCAUGAGUUCAAGCCCCACAUUGAGUGUAGGACUUGCUUUAAAAAAAAAAAAAAAAAAGAUUCUGCACUGGGGCGCGGAGAUCUCAUCUUUGAGCAUCAAAACAAGCCUAGCAGGUAAGUUCCCUUGCUUCUUGAACCCGCCCCCUAUCCAUCCCUAGUGGCUGCCUCUGUCUUUGCCUUUUCCUUUCCCUCUGCCUGUGGAGGCCUAAUUUAUGAACCAACGAAAGGGAGAAGGUUUGGGCGGAUUAUAGCAUCGCCCUCCUCCGAAACUCUAGGGGGUCUCUGCUCCGAUUCGUUUUUGUGCUUUGCCUCUAUGCCAGAGACACUGUAACUAUCAUUGCCCCUCUUAGGUCAUAAGGUCACAUGCUCAGGUGUUUUGAACCACCGUCUCAGCUUGCUAUAGAAUUCUCUCUCAUUUGAGGCCUUAAUCCAAAGUGGCUAGCUCCUGAGGUGCCCAAAUUGAUCAGACAGGGACUACUGAGCGUGGUUUGUUUUGCUUCCCGGUUCCCAGAAUGUGCUUCUUUCUUCUUUGUGGAACGUUUGAGUUCUAGGAACUUAUUUCUCGCUUUAGAGGGAAUGUCCCAGUGUUCCUUGGACUCUUGGAUACCUAGUAACUUCAUUGAGGUGGCAAGUGAACUUUUCAAGGAUUGUAUGUUUGUGUUUUGCCGCCUAGGGUGCUCGCUGCUUCUUUGUGACGAGAUUCGGUUAGCAUAAUCAAUGUCAUAGGCCAGAGGGAUGAUCUGUGGCACGUGGAUAAAACCAAAGUCCCUGUCACGUGUUACAGUUUAAACAAGAGCAGUAGAGUUGUUAGAGUGCUGAGAUAAGACGAGGAACAUGCACUGUCACCCUUGGCAGGGAAAGCAAACAACUUCACAUGUUUACUGAUUUGUAUUGAAAAGGUAGUGUUUGCUAAGUCAGCUUUAUACCAGGUGCCAGGGUCAGUGUCAGUAUGCUCUAGUGGUGAUAUUUUUCUCUGAACAACAGCUAGAAUCACCAUAUGGUUACAUUUAUAAUAAUCUACAGUCAGUCCUUGAGAUCCGUGUGCCUUCUGCACUGUAAAAUAGGUGAGUUAAAUGAAAAUCACUGACAACUGCACCUUUUAAGCGUUUAAAAUGGCAUUAAUCUCCGAAAUCCUCUGGUGAUGUGGUAGUGUUUUGGCUUACUAUUUUGGAAGAAGGGCACAGUUCCAGUCUUCAAAUAGGCCCUUCUUUUCUUUUCUUUUUUUAAAAAAUUAUUUUUUAUUUUUUAAACUUUUUUGGGCCUUCUUAAUAGCUCUCACUCCAUGGAUUCAGGGGCUAAUGUGGGGUUUCUGUCAGAUGCCUCACAAAUCUUUGCCAAUAUAUACUCAGUAACUAAGAACUUAACCGCAGGAUAAGUCUCUGGCCUGUUUGAACCCACGGUUAAAUGAACUUAGCUCAAGACUCAUUCUACACCUGAUUUCCCUAAGCCUCCAUUUACAUCAGCAAAUCAAGACAGCAUUCCAACUCCCCAGGGAUUAGAGGCAAUUCAUAGCUAGCAUCUAAUAAUUCCCAAAAGUAUAGGACAUUUUUUUCCCCCUAGUGCCCAUACAUCUCAAUAAAUGGCUAUCAUUCCCUCUAGGAAAAGGCUUGGAGGAAUCACUGUAAUCCCUUCUGGCUGCAUUGCAGGGACAUCUUUCAAUGUGACAUAGCCUCCCCAUCGGUCAAGGCUUUCUGGGUUUCUGAACUGACUGGAGUGUAGGAACUGGGUUUCCUGUUUGGGGUAGGAAAGUGAGAAAAAGAGGAAGUUUAAGAUGGAGUAGAGGUUGCAAAGAACCAGAUGAUAUCUCAGGAGAGAUUCAGGAUUGUUGAGGAUCAACAAUUGUUGACAUAAGUGAACAACUGGAUUGUUGAGAGAGAGAGUAGCUGAAUGUUUUUUCCUGUCACCAUUACUGAGAAUUCACAUCUGUAGUCGUCAGAAGUUACAGACAGAAAAGAACUAAAUGCCACCAUCGUAUAAUUCUUCUCUGGAAACACUGACUGCAAAAUAUGUACUACGUGUGUGAAUGGUCUGUCCCUGGAGGAGGAAAAGU